UCCUACGGGAGGCAGCAGUAGGGAAUCUUCCACAAUGGACGAAAGUCUGAUGGAGCAACGCCGCGUGAGUGAAGAAGGUUUUCGGAUCGUAAAACUCUGUUGUAAGGGAAGAACACGUACGAGAGUAACUGCUCGUACCUUGACGGUACCUUAUUAGAAAGCCACGGCUAACUACGUGCCAGCAGCCGCGGUAAUACGUAGGUGGCAAGCGUUGUCCGGAAUUAUUGGGCGUAAAGCGCGCGCAGGCGGUCCUUUAAGUCUGAUGUGAAAGCCCACGGCUCAACCGUGGAGGGUCAUUGGAAACUGGGGGACUUGAGUACAGAAGAGGAAAGCGGAAUUCCAAGUGUAGCGGUGAAAUGCGUAGAGAUUUGGAGGAACACCAGUGGCGAAGGCGGCUUUCUGGUCUGUAACUGACGCUGAGGCGCGAAAGCGUGGGGAGCAAACAGGAUUAGAUACCCUGGUAGUCCACGCCGUAAACGAUGAGUGCUAAGUGUUAGGGGGUUUCCGCCCCUUAGUGCUGCAGCUAACGCAUAAGCA
rnacentral:rRNA from 1 species